UACGAAGGGAGCUAGCGUUGUUCGGAAUCACUGGGCGUAAAGCGCACGUAGGCGGAUUUGUCAGUCAGGGGUGAAAUCCCGGGGCUCAACCUCGGAACUGCCUUUGAUACAGCAAGUCUUGAGUUCGAGAGAGGUGGGUGGAAUUCCUAGUGUAGAGGUGAAAUUCGUAGAUAUUCGCAAGAACACCAGUGGCGAAGGCGGCUCACUGGCUCGAUACUGACGCUGAGGUGCGAAAGCGUGGGGAGCAAACAGG
rnacentral:rRNA from 1 species